rnacentral:rRNA from 1 species
AGCGAACGCUGGCGGCAGGCCUAACACAUGCAAGUCGAACGAAGUCUUCGGACUUAGUGGCGGACGGGUGAGUAACACGUGGGAACGUGCCUUUAGGUUCGGAAUAACUCAGGGAAACUUGUGCUAAUACCGAAUGUGCCCUUCGGGGGAAAGAUUUAUCGCCUUAGAGCGGCCCGCGUCUGAUUAGCUAGUUGGUGAGGUAAAGGCUCACCAAGGCGACGAUCAGUAGCUGGUCUGAGAGGUUGAUCAGCCACAUUGGGACUGAGACACGGCCCAAACUCCUACGGGAGGCAGCAGUGGGGAAUCUUGCGCAAUGGGCGAAAGCCUGACGCAGCCAUGCCGCGUGAAUGAUGAAGGUCUUAGGAUUGUAAAAUUCUUUCACCGGGGACGAUAAUGACGGUACCCGGAGAAGAAGCCCCGGCUAACUUCGUGCCAGCCGCCGCAGUAACAC